rnacentral:rRNA from 1 species
GGGUUGUGAGGUUAAGCGACUAAGCGUACACGGUGGAUGCCUAGGCAGUCAGAGGCGAUGAAGGGCGUGCUAAUCUGCGAUAAGCGUCGGUAAGCUGAUAUGAAGCGUUAUACCCGACGAUACCCGAAUGGGGAAACCCAGUGUGUUUCGACACACUAUCAUUACGUGAAUACAUAGCGUAAUGAGGCGAACCGGGGGAACUGAAACAUCUCAGUACCCCGAGGAAAAGAAAUCAACCGAGAUUCCCCUAGUAGCGGCGAGCGAACGGGGAGGAGCCCAGAACCUGAAUCAGUUUGUGUGUUAGUGGAAGCGUCUGGAAAGUCGCACAGUAAAGGGUGAUAGUCCCGUACACAAAAAUGCACAAAUUGUGAGUUCGAUGAGUAGGGCGGGACACGUGACAUCCUGUCUGAAUAUGGGGGGACCAUCCUCCAAGGCUAAAUACUCCUGACUGACCGAUAGUGAACCAGUACCGUGAGGGAAAGGCGAAAAGAACCCCGGCGAGGGGAGUGAAAUAGAACCUGAAACCGUGUACGUACAAGCAGUGGGAGCCUUGAUUAAUCAGGGUGACUGCGUACCUUUUGUAUAAUGGGUCAGCGACUUAUAUUCUGUAGCAAGGUUAACCGUAUAGGGGAGCCGCAGGGAAACCGAGUCUUAACUGGGCGUUAAGUUGCAGGGUAUAGACCCGAAACCCGGUGAUCUAGCCAUGGGCAGGUUGAAGGUUGGGUAACACUAACUGGAGGACCGAACCGACUAAUGUUGAAAAAUUAGCGGAUGACUUGUGGCUGGGGGUGAAAGGCCAAUCAAACCGGGAGAUAGCUGGUUCUCCCCGAAAGCUAUUUAGGUAGCGCCUCGUGAAUUCAUCUUCGGGGGUAGAGCACUGUUUCGGCUAGGGGGUCAUCCCGACUUACCAACCCGAUGCAAACUACGAAUACCGAAGAAUGUUAUCACGGGAGACACACGGCGGGUGCUAACGUUCGUCGUGAAGAGGGAAACAACCCAGACCGCCAGCUAAGGUCCCAAAGUCAUGGUUAAGUGGGAAACGAUGUGGGAAGGCACAGACAGCCAGGAUGUUGGCUUAGAAGCAGCCAUCAUUUAAAGAAAGCGUAAUAGCUCACUGGUCGAGUCGGCCUGCGCGGAAGAUGUAACGGGGCUAAACCAUGCACCGAAGCUGCGGCAGCGACACUUAGGUGUUGUUGGGUAGGGGAGCGUUCUGUAAGCCGUCGAAGGUGGCCUGUGAGGGCUGCUGGAGGUAUCAGAAGUGCGAAUGCUGACAUAAGUAACGAUAAUGCGGGUGAAAAACCCGCACGCCGGAAGACCAAGGGUUCCUGUCCAACGUUAAUCGGGGCAGGGUGAGUCGACCCCUAAGGCGAGGCUGAAAAGCGUAGUCGAUGGGAAACAGGUUAAUAUUCCUGUACUCGGUGUUACUGCGAAGGGGGGACGGAGAAAGCUAGGUUAUCCGGGCGACGGUUGUCCCGGUUUAAGCGUGAAGGUGGAUGACUUUGGUAAAUCCGGGUCGUCAUUAACACUGAGGCGUGAUGACGAGUCACUACGGUGAUGAAGUAACCGAUGCUACGCUUCCAGGAAAAGCCUCUAAGCUCCAGGUAACAUCAAAUCGUACCCCAAACCGACACAGGUGGUCAGGUAGAGAAUACUCAGGCGCUUGAGAGAACUCGGGUGAAGGAACUAGGCAAAAUGGUGCCGUAACUUCGGGAGAAGGCACGCUGAUGGUAGGUGAAGUGACUUGCUCACGGAGCUGAAAUCAGUCGAAGAUACCAGCUGGCUGCAACUGUUUAAUAAAAACACAGCACUGUGCAAACACGAAAGUGGACGUAUACGGUGUGACGCCUGCCCGGUGCCGGAAGGUUAAUUGAUGGGGUCAGCCGCAAGGCGAAGCUCUUGAUCGAAGCCCCGGUAAACGGCGGCCGUAACUAUAACGGUCCUAAGGUAGCGAAAUUCCUUGUCGGGUAAGUUCCGACCUGCACGAAUGGCGUAAUGAUGGCCAGGCUGUCUCCACCCGAGACUCAGUGAAAUUGAACUCGCUGUGAAGAUGCAGUGUACCCGCGGCAAGACGGAAAGACCCCGUGAACCUUUACUAUAGCUUGACACUGAACCUUGAGCCUUGAUGUGUAGGAUAGGUGGGAGGCUUUGAAGCGAGGACGCCAGUUCUUGUGGAGCCAACCUUGAAAUACCACCCUUUAAUGUUUGAUGUUCUAACGUGGGCCCGUAAUCCGGGUUGCGGACAGUGUCUGGUGGGUAGUUUGACUGGGGCGGUCUCCUCCCAAAGCGUAACGGAGGAGCACGAAGGUUAGCUAAUCCUGGUCGGACAUCAGGAGGUUAGUGCAAAGGCAUAAGCUAGCUUGACUGCGAGAGUGACAGCUCGAGCAGGUGCGAAAGCAGGUCUUAGUGAUCCGGUGGUUCUGAAUGGAAGGGCCAUCGCUCAACGGAUAAAAGGUACUCCGGGGAUAACAGGCUGAUACCGCCCAAGAGUUCAUAUCGACGGCGGUGUUUGGCACCUCGAUGUCGGCUCAUCACAUCCUGGGGCUGAAGUAGGUCCCAAGGGUAUGGCUGUUCGCCAUUUAAAGUGGUACGCGAGCUGGGUUUAGAACGUCGUGAGACAGUUCGGUCCCUAUCUGCCGUGGGCGUUGGAAGAUUGAGAGGGGUUGCUCCUAGUACGAGAGGACCGGAGUGAACGCACCACUGGUGUUCGGGUUGUGAUGCCAAUUGCAUUGCCCGGUAGCUAAGUGCGGAAGAGAUAACCGCUGAAAGCAUCUAAGCGGGAAACUUGCCUCGAGAUGAGUCUUCCCUGGGCACUAGAUGCCCCUGAAGGGCCGUUGAAGACGACGACGUAGAUAGGCUGGGUGUGUAAGCGUAGCGAUACGUUGAGCUAACCAGUACUAAUGACCCGAGAGGCUUAACCUUACAACACCGAAGGUGUUU